rnacentral:rRNA from 1 species
UGCCAGCCGCCGCGGUAAUACGGAGGGUGCAAGCGUUAAUCGGAAUUACUGGGCGUAAAGCGCGCGUAGGCGGCUUGUUUAGUCAGCUGUGAAAGCCCUGGGCUUAACCUGGGAACUGCAGUUGAUACUGGCAAGCUAGAGUAUGGGAGAGGGUUGUGGAAUCCCACGUGUAGCGGUGAAAUGCGUAGAUAUGUGGAGGAACAUCAGUGGCGAAGGCGGCAGCCUGGCCCAAUACUGACGCUGAGGUGCGAAAGCGUGGGGAGCAAACAGGAUUAGAUA